UACGUAGGGGGCAAGCGUUGUCCGGAUUUAUUGGGCGUAAAGAGCGUGUAGGCGGCCAAGCAGGUCCGCUGUGAAAACUCGAGGCUCAACCUCGAGACGUCGGUGGAAACCGUUUGGCUAGAGUCCGGAAGAGGAGAGUGGAAUUCCCGGUGUAGCGGUGAAAUGCGCAGAUAUCGGAAAGAACACCCGUGGCGAAGGCGGCUCUCUGGGACGGUACUGACGCUGAGACGCGAAAGCGUGGGGAGCGAACAGG
rnacentral:rRNA from 1 species